rnacentral:misc_RNA from 1 species
UGACGAUACAUCUGUUUUUAGCUAGUGUGCUAGUUGCAAUAUUAGGUGGUGAUUAGUGGGUACAUCGGUAUUUUAGUUCUUUCCGUUCGUUCUGUUGUAUUCUUAUCGGUUAGUAAGCUGGUUAAGGGGGCCAUGUACGCCCGGGGCACGUUAUGUUAGGAAGGGAUGAAAGGGCCUAGCACGUCCGACCCACGGUUAGUAAGCUGGUUGAAGGGGCCACGUACGCCCGGGCCAUGCUAUGUUAGGAAGGGAUGAAGGGGCCCAGUACGCCCGACCCGCUAGUGCAUUACAGUCUCAGCGUUUUGGUCAGGAAUAGCCGAACAGUUAUUAAUGUCACUCGUUACAGUUGUAUAGGUCGGGAGGAGUAACGCCGAGUUGGCGGAUGCACGACAUGGACGCACGAGGUCGUGCGAUUGUCAGGGUUGGCCGUGUCAGCAAUAGCACUGUCGUACGCAAUUAGUAAGGAAUUUAUAAACAACAGAUGCACAUCGUUCGAUAUUCAACUACCCUCA